rnacentral:lncRNA from 1 species
CCUUUGCUACAAUUUUUUACUGAACAUCCAGUGAUUUUUCCAAAGGUCACUGCCUCAGAGCCUUUGUCUGGAGCGUUAAAUAUUUAUACAGAUGGCUCCAAAACAGGUGUAGGUGCCUAUAUGGUUGAUUCUCAAGAACCAGUAUUAAUUCAAUAUAGUCCAGGCACCCCCCAAAUUACAGAACGUAAAAUUGUAUUGGAAGUUUUCAAAAGAUUUCAUGAUUUUUUUAAUUUCUGACUCUGCUUAUGUAGUUAAUGCGGUGCACUCACUUGAAAUUGCAGGGCCAAUUUGGUCGAGUAGUACCGUAUGUCAAAUUCUUUUAGAAUUACAAAAUUUGAUUUGGGCCAGAAAAAAUAAAAUUUUUAUACAACAUAUUCGAGCCCAUACUAAUUUGCCUGGUCCCAUGACCAGUAAUAACACCCUGGUGGAUGCUAGUACUCGUAGAGAGUUUAUUUUUCAUGCCACUCCGGUUGAUCUCGCUAGAGGAUUUCAUCAAAAGUUUCAUGUACCUGCUUUUACUCUUCAACAAAAAUUUAAAAUCUCUAGAGCUGCAGCUCGUGAUGUGGUGUUAAGUUGCCAAAAUUGUGUUCAAUUUCACCACCCUCCUCAUGUGGGUAUUAACCCUCGUGGUCUGAUCCAGCUAAAACUUUGGCAGAUGGAUGUCACACACAUAUCUCAAUUUGGAAAUUUAAAAUAUGCUCAUGUUUCUGUUGAUACCUGUUCUGGUAUUAUACACGCUACUCUGAUGACUGGUGAAAA